AGUGACGUCAUCGCCGGACGGCGGGCUGGCAAGAUGGCGGAUGUGUGUGAGCGCUGGUGGGGUGAGCUGCUCAAACACCCGCUGCUGGGUGAGCUGAGGAAGGGCGACCGGCGAGUCAAUGAACCAGCCAAGAAUCUCCUCUUCUGUCUGGACAGCGACAUUUUCUUCUGGGAUGGGACGAAGAGCGUGUUUUAUACCACCAACCUCAAGCACCUGAACUCCGGCAUGGUCCCGUAUCAGACACUAUUAUGUAUAAAUCCACCCUUGUUUGAAGUGAAUGAAGUUUUGCUCAGUCCGACACGACAUCAUGUGCUACUUAUUGGAAAUAAAGGUAUGAUGGUGUUGGAGCUGCCACAGCGUUGGGGCAAAAGAUCUGAGUUUGAGGGUGGAAAGUCCGAAAUCAAUUGUUUGACGGUGCCUAUAGCUGAAAGAUUCUUCACAAGUUCAACUUCACUGACACCAAGACAUGCUGCUUGGUACCCCAGUGAAACUGAGGAGCCUCAUGUUGUCGUAUUAACUUCAGAUAAUUCUGUGAGGUUUUAUGACUUAAAGCAACCGCAGACUCCUGUUCAGAUAUUCUGCCUUAGUCAGAGUGAAGAGGAAAGUAUUGUACCAUCUACAAGCAGGUCAUAUGCAGCAUCAUUGGGUGAGAUCGCAGUUGCAUUCGAUUUUGGUCCUUUGAUGACUGCUCCUAGGCAUCGUUCAAAAGAGGUCUUGGUACAUCCACUCUAUAUCCUUUAUGAAAAUGGCGAGACGUACUUAAUAUACUGCAGCCUUACUCACAACAGUACUGGACUUGUUGGGAGGUUGCUGGGUCCGUUGCCUAUGCAUCCAGCUGCUGAGGAUAAUUACGGAUAUGAUGCCUGCGCGAUACUCUGCUUACACUGUAUUCCAAACGUUCUGGUCAUUGCUACUCAAUCUGGGAUGCUGUAUCACUGUGUGGUUCUUGAGGGGGAUGAAGAAGAGUAUCAGAUGAGUAAUGAAUCGUGGGACCUGAGGUGCGAGCCUGUUCCUUCACUCUAUGUAUUCGAAUGCGUAGAAUUAGAAUUGGUCCUGAAGCUGGCCACAGGAGAUGACGAUGAGCAACUACAAUCCGACUUCUCCUGUCCAAUCACUUUACACAAAGAUCCAUUGUGUCUGACGCGUUAUCAUUGCACACAUAUUGCUGGUGUACACAGCAUUGGGCUAACAUGGGUCAACCAACUGGAACAAUUUCUCCUCACCGAAGAACAAGAUAAACAUUGCCUCCAGGAGUUGGCAGCAGAGCAGAGAUGCAUAGUGGAACAUAUUCUCUGUACCAAACCACUGCCGUUCAGCCAGCCUGCACCAAUCAAAGGAUUCUGGAUAAUUUCUGACCUAUCGCUAGGAGCAGCAAUGAUUUGCAUUACGGAUUCAUACGAGUGCAUCAUAAGACAAUUACUAACCACCACACGGCCAGUUUCGCCGCCACUACUGUGUUCCAACCCAGACACCAGCUCCAUCGUAUCGCCACUGCGAAAUUUCACAAGCAGUUCCUUUGAACAACACAUUGCAAACAUUUUGCGUCGCAAUACAACAAAUCCGCUCCUUCUGAGAGCUUCAGAUGCAGAGGGAGCUCCGCCACCACAGGAGUGUUUGCAGCUCUUGAGUCGAGCCACCCAGGUGUUCAGAGAAGAGUACAUCCUCAAACAGGCUCUUGCAAGAGAAGAGAUAGCACGGAGGGUGAAGCUUUUAACCAGUCAGAAGAAUAAGCAGAAGUUUGAUCUUGAACAGUGCAUCAAUGAGAGAAAACUUCUGCAGGAAAUGGCAGAAGAACUGGCUGGCAAAUAUGAGGAGGUAAAAUACAACCAAGAAAUAGUGAUGAAAAGGGUGAAGAAAGUUUUGCACAGUUUUAAUUCACAUCUUCCCGUGCUGUCUGAUAGUGAGAGAGAUAUGAAGAAAGAACUUGUUGUUCUCAAUGACCAGCUCAGUGACUUGGAAAGCACCAUUACACAGGCAAGAAUAAUUUUCUGCCAUCUAUCAUUUAAUGGUGCAAAUGAAGACUGAAUAUCAACGGAAGGAAAUACAGCCGGAAGAAAGUGCACGGAAAAAGAGCAUCACUCUCAGUGUGUCUCAGAAGAAAUGCAUCCAUUCAGUGCUUAAGGAGCAGAGUGAACAUAUUACUGAAAUGGUGAAGAAAAUUAAUGACAUACGAACUCAUGUAAAUUUUUAAGUACUAUUUUGUUCUCUGCCACGGUUUAUUCUUUGGGAUGAACUGUAUGUAAAGGUGGUGUAGGAUGAGAAACAAUAAGCAUUCUCUUAAAGCAAAGUGAAGUAACAUGGCAACAUUUCAGACUCUGCCAAUCUUACUCCAGCUCUGAGUUUCGAUGGCAUUUUGUACGUUUAAAUUAAUUUCACCAGGUUUUUAUGUUUGCAGUAUACGUAGCAUUCAGAUUAGAAUUAUUGGUUUAAUCUCCCAACACAAAGGAUUAUUGAACUGGUUCCUUGUUUUCUAGAUUUUGAUAAUAUCAAAUUAUUAACAUGCUUUUCUUUUCUAAAUCUGUGAUUCAUGCUGUGGCUGCAACCUUUCCAUAAAUACCAGAUCUGAUGUGUAAACCUUAAUUUGAUUAAAUGUAAACAGGCCAUUCUCAUGCCUGUAUGUUUUAAAUGACUAAUGAUCAACUAUAUCCACUGUUUGGAUAUCUGCUAUUACGGGUGGCUGAAACCAAACCUUUCUCGGAUAUGUUGUGUUUUGAAUUUGUUUACUUUUUUGUCUCUGAGCUUCGGAGGCUGUUCAGCCACUCAAGGCUCUGCUGACUCUCAUAGCAAAUUCAUUCCCCCACUUAUUUCCCUGUAAUUUAUUCUCUCUUAUGUCCAUUAACUCCAACCUGAUGCUCGUACCACAAAUCAUGGACAAUUUGCCUAUUAAUCUCCCAGCUUUUAUGAUGUGGACGGAAACUCACUCAGUCACAGAGAAUGUACAAGCUCCACUCAGACAGCACUGGAGGUCAGCAUUGAACUGGAGUUACUGGAGCUACGUCACUAUCUGUGUGAUCAAUGAAUGUUCUCUGCCACCGCCAGUGAUGCUCAGAAAGGGCCUUCUGCUCAUACUGUCGUUGCUUCAAUCUGUCUCGGCAUGAGUGCAGUGGCCAUAAAUCCAGGCUUGCAUCCCAGGCUUGAACUUUAGCAAAGGAGGAUAAUACUUCACCUGAUAAGUUGUCCAAUCUGGAUUGUUUUUUUUAUACAGUUAUCUAAGGAAAGGCCUUUAAAUGUUUAAAAUGUUUCAGAAGCUCUUGCAAAUGAGUCUGCCAAUUUGUGUACUCUCCUAUUUAUUUUUGUACCUCACUGCUUUUACGUUGAUUUAUUGAAAGUGAAUUCACAUUUUGGAUGGAUGAAACUUGAUGUAAAUAUUUGGUCUCAGUCCUAUAAAAUGCCUUGCAAAAAAAUAGUAUCAGUAAUAUGUGGAUCAUGUCCAACAGUAGAUUUACAUGUUCUAUUUUACUUUCCCUUGGAACUAAAAUGUGUACCCCCCCCCCCCCCCCUCCACUUUAUAAAAAAAGAAGCUUACAACCCAAACUAUGCAAGCAAAUGACUGAGAUUUUUCAAGUAGUAAAUUGAGAUGCAAUUUUUGUACACUGCACAAACGUUUGUGUCUGAAUAAAUAUUUUUUAUGUGGUA